UAGGAAUUUUGCGCAAUGGGGGAAACCCUGACGCAGCAACGCCGCGUGGAGGAUGAAGGCCUUCGGGUUGUAAACUCCUUUUAGCAGGGAAGAAACAAAUGACGGUAUCUGCAGAAAAAGCACCGGCUAACUCUGUGCCAGCAGCCGCGGUAAUACAGAGGGUGCAAGCGUUAUUCGGAAUCACUGGGCGUAAAGCGCUCGUAGGCUGUUAAUUAAGUCAGAUGUGAAAUCCCCGGGCUCAAUCCGGGACGUGCAUCUGAUACUGGUUGACUAGAGUGCAGGAGAGGAAAGCGGAAUUCCAGGUGUAGAGGUGAAAUUCGUAGAUAUCUGGAGGAACAACAGAGGCGAAGGCGGCUUUCUGGACUGUCACUGACGCUGAGGAGCGAAAGCGUGGGGAGCAAAC
rnacentral:rRNA from 1 species